rfam:Phalacrocorax carbo contig112365, whole genome shotgun sequence.
UAGCCUGAAAUGAUGUUACGAACUCAUGUCUCUUCUCUGAGAUGCAUCGUGGAGACAGCUGGAUGCACUUCUGAUCAGGCUU